rnacentral:rRNA from 1 species
GAUGAACGCUAGCGGCAGGCCUAACACAUGCAAGUCGAGGGGUAGAACACUUCGGUGUUUGAGACCGGCGCACGGGUGCGUAACGCGUAUGCAAUCUACCUUGUACAGGGGAAUAGCCCAGAGAAAUUUGGAUUAAUGCCCCAUAGUAUAUAACCUUCGCAUGUUGGUUAUAUUAAAGUUCCAACGGUACAAGAUGAGCAUGCGUCCCAUUAGUUAGUUGGUAAGGUAACGGCUUACCAAGACGAUGAUGGGUAGGGGUCCUGAGAGGGGGAUCCCCCACGCUGGUACUGAGACACGGACCAGACUCCUACGGGAGGCAGCAGUGAGGAAUAUUGGUCAAUGGGCGCAAGCUUGAACCAGCCAUGCCGCGUGCAGGAAGACGGUCCUAUGGAUUGUAAACUGCUUUUAUACAGGAAGAAACCCUCCCACGUGUGGGAGAUUGACGGUACUGUAGGAAUAAGGAUCGGCUAACUCCGUGCCAGCAGCCGCAGUAACAC